rnacentral:lncRNA from 1 species
ACCGGGAGAUUGUGGGAGGAUGUGAGCUCUCUGAGAAGGAGAAGAAGUAUUUACAUUAGAAGUCUGAUUCACAGGUCAGGGGCAAAGUGAAAAACAUCUGCAUUUUUAAAAGAGAGGUCAAAAGUCUGUCUGACUCACCUGUGCUAAGUGACUUGAGUGCCAUCUAAUCUAACUUCAAGAUCAUCAGGAUACUUGCCAACAAGGUCACAGUGGACUCCAUGGAGCAACUGCUCUCAGGAGGCAACAGAUGGCUUCGCUUGCUUAUUGGCUGAAGGUCUACAAGGACUCGAUUCACAUAUCUGAUCAUACCUGGAGUCCAGACUUUCUCCUGAUGCCUGACCCCUUUGCCAUUAGGUUGGCUCCAUAUGACUGAGUUCUGGCCAAUGAGGUAUGGGCAGAAGUGAUGUGUACCAAUUCCGAGCUCGACUUUUGAAAUCAUCCCAUGUGAUCCUCCCGCCAUCUACCAGCCAUCUCUUUUUGAUCUUGAAGGUCUUAUGCCUCAGAUUGUGUAACUACAGGAUGAAGGAAGGCCACUCAACCCACAUUUGGACAUGAUGUAAGCAAGAAAUAAACUUGUAAUGUAUUAAGCCACUAAA